rnacentral:rRNA from 1 species
UACGUAGGGGGCAAGCGUUAUCCGGAUUUACUGGGUGUAAAGGGAGCGUAGACGGCGAUGCAAGCCAGAUGUGAAAGCCCGGGGCUCAACCCCGGGACUGCAUUUGGAACUGUAUAGCUAGAGUGUCGGAGAGGCAGGCGGAAUUCCUAGUGUAGCGGUGGAAUGCGUAGAUAUUAGGAGGAACACCAGUGGCGAAGGCGGCCUGCUGGACGAUGACUGACGUUGAGGCUCGAAAGCGUGGGGAGCAAACAGG